AAGCUKAUUUAAACCAAUUCAAAUGUUUUGUUCUGCAAAUAAAAUUUGGAAAAGAAUUUCAGAAUUUA
rnacentral:tRNA from 1 species